GCACGCCGUAGCCGGCGGACAGGGCGAUGGCCAUGCGCAGGGCAUGGCGGAACACCACCGAGGUGGGGGUGAAGUUCUGCUUCAGGCGCUCCC
rnacentral:tRNA from 1 species